rnacentral:rRNA from 1 species
AAAGAUUAAGCCACUGCAUGUCUAAGUAUAAGCAAUUAUACCGUGAAACUGCGAAUGGCUCAUUAAAUCAGUUAUCGUUUAUUUGAUAGUACCUUACUACUUGGAUAACCGUGGUAAUUCUAGAGCUAAUACAUGCUGAAAACCCCGACUUCGGAAGGGGUGUAUUUAUUAGAUAAAAAACCAAUGCCCUUCGGGGCUCCUUGGUGAUUCAUAAUAACUUCUCAGAUCGCAUGGCCUUGCGCCGGCGACGGUUCAUUCAAAUUUCUGCCCUAUCAACUUUCGAUGGUAAGGUAUUGGCUUACCAUGGUUU